AACCAUUGCUCAUAUAUCCAAAAUACACCCCACAAACUCCACAUUAAUCAGAUAGCAAUCAAGAAACACCAACAAACCAAAAGAAUGGCAGUCUGUUCAUUACACUUCACAUCACCUAAACUUCAAACCUUAACACCAAAACCCACUUUCAAGGCUUCUUUAACUCCUUUUAUUAACAAGAAGCAAAUAUUCCAAGUCGGUGUUGGAAUUUUGGCUGCUUCAAUAGUUACUUCAACACCUUUAAAUGCUGAUGCUACAAGAAUUGAAUAUUAUGCUACUACUGCUGAGCCUACUUGUGAGUUUAAUUAUGUUCGCUCUGGACUUGGGUAUUGUGAUAUUGCUGUUGGAUCUGGUCAAGAAGCUCCAUAUAAUCAGCUUGUUAAUAUUCACUAUACUGCGAGGUUUGCGGAUGGUAUAGUUUUUGACAGCAGCUAUAAACGUGGUCGAGCCCUGACAAUGCGCCUCGGCAUGGGCAAGGUGAUCAAGGGAUUAGAUCAGGGAAUCUUGGGAGGUGAAGGGGUACCACCAAUGCUAGUUGGUGGAAAACGUAAGCUUCAGAUUCCUCCACAUUUGGCAUAUGGACCAGAACCAGCAGGCUGCUUUUCAGGGGACUGCAAUAUUCCUGGAAAUGCAACACUUAUAUAUGACAUCAAAUUCGUUGAACUCUACUCGGGAAACAGGAAAUUGUGAUAUGAUGAGAAAUCUGAAGCUCAAGCACAACUAAUCUAGAGCCUAUUGGUUGUUCAGGAGCAAAAAAGAAAGAUGGAGGCAGAAAAUUGCUCGAAGAAAUAUAGGAUCCGCCCGGAAUUCUUUGGAAUGAAGAUAUAGAGCAAAAGGUGACAGUUUCUUGAAUAAAAUUAAGUCAAGAAUUACAUGGCUUUCACCAUACAAGACGCAAAUGGCCUAAUGGUGAGGAGUGCUUGCUGGUGCCAACUUCCUGGGAUCAUUUUUGAGCUGAUAAUUUAAGUUCCUAACAUUGUGUAUAAUCGACUAUUAUACUUGAUUAAAAUAAAUGCAAAAUAGGGUUUCAUGUUCACAAUACUUGAAAAUCUUGUAUAAUUAUUCCAUGUAUAUUUUGUGUUGUAUACUCUUGGACUCAAAUGUUACACCCUUGUUUAUCA